UACGUAGGGGGCAAGCGUUGUCCGGAAUCAUUGGGCGUAAAGAGCGCGUAGGCGGCCCGAUAAGUCCGCUGUGAAAGUCAAGGGCUCAACCCUUGAAUGCCGGUGGAUACUGUCGGGCUAGAGUCCGGAAGAGGCGAGUGGAAUUCCUGGUGUAGCGGUGAAAUGCGCAGAUAUCAGGAGGAACACCGGUGGCGAAGGCGGAUCUCUGGGCCAUUACUGACGCUGAGGAGCGAAAGCGUGGGGAGCGAACAGG
rnacentral:rRNA from 1 species